CGGCUUUUUCUCGUUAGAAGAACGCACAAGAUACAUGUUUCUGCGCGGGAGAGAAGCUGAGACUACCGAGAACAACGAGUCAUCGAUAGCUUUGCAAGAAACUGUCCGUAUACUAUACCACUGACGAGGUACUGUUACGUCUGAACUGGUAUUAUGAUAAAAUGCCGUAUCUGUUGUAUUUUCACGGAAUCAGAACUGUCUGUCUAAUUAUUAUCAUUUGCUUAUUUAUCUCUGCGGCACUGAACAUCAAACACAACGAAAAGGAUACAAACCUUCGUCUAUCAGAUUUGGAAAGCAAGCGAUAUAAUGACAAUAAAGAAUGGUUUAAUCUAUAUCUGAAGCUAUUUAUCGUGCUAUUUAUUUUAUUAGACAUAAAAUGGUU